AACAACCAUGACCUCGUUCUGGUCACCAACGCCCCUUCCUCACUGGCUCUUUAGGAAUUUCUGGUGGGAAGACCCAGGAACGAGGAGCGAUGUGCCCAUAGCAAUUGC
rnacentral:ribozyme from 1 species